CGCGAGGGAGACGCUGAAGGUUCUAGAAGGAGCAGCGACGGGGAUGACGGCGGCGCGAGCCCUCGCCAUUGCUCCGGGCCGGAUGGAGAACUGAUUACCCCUAUACAAUCCUUUUGCUGGUCACCGAGUUGAAGAGCAGCUCACAGUAACAGAUGGUGUUGCCAUUGGUUCAACCUUGUACUUUUCAUAUACCCUGGUCUUGUUCUCUUCCCACCAAUGCUGAGCUUCCUUCUCACCAAAAUGCUUCCGACUGCACAGCCAAGAAUUCAGGGGGAUAUAGAAAACGUGACAUAUACUCCAUGCUCAAUUUGUUCGGUCACAUUAUCAAUUGGAGCGACGGCCAAUUGUGCUUCCGUGGU